rnacentral:misc_RNA from 1 species
GUGAGUCAUCAAAUCUUUGAACGCACAUUGCGCCCGCUAGCAUUCUGGCGGGCAUGCUUGUUCGAGCGUCCUCAAAAACCCUCGGGCCCUGGAGACUUGUCUUCGGCGGCCCGGUGUUGGGAUGCCGCGGCUGCCGCGGCUCCUUAAAACCAGCGGCGGACCUCCCUGUGGCCCUGGCGUAGUAAUCAACCCUCGCCUUCGGCUUCCGGGAACGCCCUGCCCCGAGAACCCAUCUCAACCAUUUGGACCUCGAAUCAAGUAGGAAUACCCGCUGAACUUAAGCAUAUCAAUAAGCGGAGG